UGGCAGAUUAAUUAUAUAUAUAUAACUCAUAAUCACAAUUAAGACAGAUAUUCAAAUGAGAAGAUUAUAAAGUAAAAAACUAUACGGCUGUCGUAGUAGUAGCAGCAGCGGGGGUAGUACUGGUGGCAGCUACCGUACUAGUUUCACCAGCACCACUACCGGUCCCAUCUCCAACACCACCACCACCACUUGAGGAACCGCCACCGACUUCAACACCUUGGCUUACUGAUACCGAAACAUUAGCCGGAACAGCUGCCGUAGUAACUGCAGCAGGCCGUUUCCGUUUCUUCUUCUCGUAGGGUAUCCCUCUGGCUUUGGCUUGUCCUUCUCUGACUUCCCUCAGAUAAAUCCUCACCGCUCUUGCUCCAAAAGGAUUAGAUUCUGGUCUUCCACCGUUCUCUUCGUAGGCCGCUCUCAGCCGUCCGAUUAGCGCGUCGAGGCUACCCCACGCCUGCUUGAGAGGACAAGCACAGGGUGCGGGUGGAUUCGGGUGCCCAAAAUACGGACAACCCGUUAUGUGGACCUUGGUCUUGCCAAAUUGAUCCAAAUACUUCAAGAACUCGAUCACAUGUGCCCCACUGCAGCGAGCCAGAGUUAAUGGUGG
rnacentral:misc_RNA from 1 species